rnacentral:rRNA from 1 species
GUGGUGCAUGGUUGUCGUCAGCUCGUGUCGUGAGAUGUUGGGUUAAGUCCCGCAACGAGCGCAACCCUUAAGCUUAGUUGCCAUCAUUAAGUUGGGCACUCUAAGUUGACUGCCGGUGACAAACCGGAGGAAGGUGGGGAUGACGUCAAAUCAUCAUGCCCCUUAUGAUUUGGGCUACACACGUGCUACAAUGGACAAUACAAAGGGCAGCGAAACCGCGAGGUCAAGCAAAUCCCAUAAAGUUGUUCUCAGUUCGGAUUGUAGUCUGCAACUCGACUACAUGAAGCUGGAAUCGCUAGUAAUCGUAGAUCAGCAUGCUACGGUGAAUACGUUCCCGGGUCUUGUACACACCGCCCGUCACACCACGAGAGUUUGUAACACCCGAAGCCGGUGGAGUAACCUUU